GCCUGAUCCCAAAAAAAUUAGUUUGGUUGGUUCCUUUGUUAGUUAAUUCGCGAAUUAUUCGCAAAUUAUUGAAAAUCCGAAUUAAACGGUCUGUUUACGACUUUUUUUCAAAAGAAGAGAAUUAUUCGCGAAUUUUUGGGGCCAGCCAAAUAAUUCACGAAUUAUUCCCGAAUUAUUGAAAAUAUGAAUACAAAUCUUAUAAUUUUUAUUUUUAAAUAUAGAUUAUUUUAUAUUUUAUAUCUUAUAUCUUAUAUUUUAUACCGAAUCCGUUUUUUAAGCCGAAUUUUUCAACGAAUUUAAAAAUUAAAAAAUAAAUUUUAUGCGUAUUAUACCCGUAUCGAAUUUUUGCUGAAUCCGAAUUAACUAACUAUGGUUGGUUUUCAAUUUGGAGUGAUAAUUCGAUCAAUUCAGUGCAGAAAACUGUAGAAUCAAAAACUUCGGUUCAAUUUAUCAUUUCAUUAAAAAUUGAUUAAAU
rnacentral:lncRNA from 1 species